CUCUGUGAUGAGAUCAAGCCACCCAGCCCAGAGCACAGCACAGAGCUGUGCUACUGCACCAUGCUGCAGGCCCAAAUUUGUCCAGAAGAGAUGAUCGUGUUCCUGCAGUCUGAGUUAGCAGUGGGCGUGAGGCCGGUCAUGUGGCAGCCAUGGAUUUGCUGCAAGCUCUGGUCUGCUCUGAUGCCCCUCAGAUCGAGGGAGAAGCUGCCCCUGGCUGUGAUGGCUGUGCAGUCUGUGUGCUGUGGCCCAGGUGAGCUGGUUUGGGCAGGGCCAGUGCUGCCGUGGGGGCAGAGCAACCCUAUCCCUGAGACAGAGCAUGGUGAGUCCAUACCAGUAGGCAAAGGCAGGACCUGGGGCCAGAGCCCAGUGGCGGCUGUGGAGUGAGGGCUGCUGCUGAGCCCUCAUCGUCUUGGCCUGGCCGGAAGGGUUGCAGUGCUUUGAAAGCAGCUCCCCUGGGGUUUUGAGCCAGGGUUGUAACUGCAGCCUCCCUGGCAGCUGAGGAGGGCAAUUCUUCAUUUCAUUGGGGAGCUGCUGCGCUCCAGUGCCCUGGGCUGCUCGGCGUGGGACGUGGUGGGGCACCUCUUCAGCGAGUUCAGCCGGGCCUCGGGCAGACUGGUAAGGGCAGAGUGUGAUGCUGGGGCUGUGUCCUGUGCCCCAGCUGUGCCGCACUGCCAUGGGCGUCCCUAACUGCAGGGAGCCUGGUGCAGCAGGGCAACCAGUGCUGCAGUGGGAGUAGCCUCCCCAUCGCCAUCCACCGUGGGAUCUGGGAAGGGGCAGUGGCAGGUGUUUCCCACCUCUGUCUUGCAGGUGACAGGAAACCUUUGUGCUGAGGAAGCCCAGGAAGAAAAGGCUGUUCAGUGCCUGCGUGCCCAUGUCCUGGGCACGCUGGACCUCUCUGCCAGAGGGGUGGCCAAACCGCUCUGCCAGCUCCCCAGGCCCUGCAGGCUCGCCUGCUGGUGGUGGUGGUGGCUCUGUGCGUGGGUGGUGGCUGUGGAGCUGCGGCCCUGCAGCUGCUGCAGGCGCUCCCCGGCACGAUCCACGGAGCCGUGGGGGCGAAGUGGGCCGCAGACAUCCCCCUGCUGCUGCAGCACCUGGCAGGAACAACAGCGAGCUCCCUGGACGUGGCCGAGUGGGAGAGCCUUCUGCUGAAGUUCCUGCAAACCUCUCUGGAGCUCAUUGCGAGCGAGGCCUGGACCGUGGGCCUGAGCCAGGAGCUGAGCCGGCAGCUGGGCAGCUCUCCCCGCCUGUCCUGGGAGAAGUGGUUCCUGUGCAGGGCUCUCUGGCAGCUUGUCAGCGUCUCAGCCACGUGCAAGAGCAGAUAGUGAAAUAUCUAAGAGAGAAACUACCUGGAGCUGUGGGUGGCACAGGGAAUCACUUCUGUUUUGUCCCGCUGUGCCGAGAGCCAUUUCAAGCUGGCCUUGUCCUUGGUCGAGGAGUUCGCAGAGACUUUUCAACAGCAGAAGCAAACUGCCAGCAGAGCGAUGUGGUGAGGACCCACGUUGCUCACGCUGUGCUUGUGGUGAUCUACGGCGGCAUGGUGCUGCAUGCCCCCAGAGAGCAGCUCCUCACCCGUGUCAAGAGAGACGUCGUGGGGAACAUCCUGUGGCUCUACUGA
ensembl:lncRNA uncharacterized LOC112993043